AUGGCGGCACGUGGCCUGGAUUCGGCACCAACGAGAAACUGGGGUCGGCCCGAAAACUCUAACAUGAGCAUCCCCCCUCCUCGGGGCCUUCCCUGCGCCGGGAGUCUUAAGACCACACCGGGAAGCUCGCGGGCGAAUUUUAACGCGUUUCCCUCCCUUUCAUUUGAAGUGGGAACACGAAUAAGUAAAAUAAGAAGACACUUAAACCUAGAGAGAGGAAAUGACUGAUUCAAGGUCACACAGUGUCCAGGAUGGAAUCCAGAUCUUCUGAUUUCUUAACUGACCUACAGUAUCUUGUGGACAUGUGAAUGAAUUCCACACAACCCGAUUUAUAGAUGAAGCCAUGGAGAUAUGGAACAACUGACUGAAUAGUCACUGCCCCACCCUUGGAGCCUUACACAUGACUCUUCUCCCACUCGAGUGACCA